UUGAUUGCGGCAGCCAUUUUAGAACUCUGGCUGCCUAUAUAAACAGAGCAGUUCACAACUGGCAGGUCAGGUAAAAGCACUGCCUGGCUGAAAGGCUGUACAAAACACCUUAGAGGCUGGAAGCAUUGUCACCUGGAUGCCAUCUGAAAGCCUUGGGCUGCAAUGUAGGGGAAUGGAGCUGCAGGUAGUGCCCCCUGGCAUCGGGGCAAGAAUGGGCAGCCUCGUGCCUUAUUAGAACCAAUUAAGAAACAACGAGCAGCAGGUGAGGAGUCAAGACAAAGGGAGGAUAAAGAAUUCCUUGAACACCCAUAAACUGGAUUUUAAUCAGCGAGUUGGACACACUGCUUUCAGAACUAGACCACAGAACUAAAUUGCCACAAGGCAGAUCCCUGUACUUCUAUGGACCUUCACUGAAGUCGCAUCAACUUGCAGGAUCCAUAAUUUAGUCAUUUUAAGUUUGGUUUGUUUGUUGUUUUUUUUUUUUUUUUU